rnacentral:tRNA from 1 species
GUCUAAUGGUUAGGACAUUGCCCUUUCACGGCAAAAAUAUGGGUUCAAUUCCCAUAG